rnacentral:rRNA from 1 species
GAUGAACGCUGGCGGCGUACCUAAUACAUGCAAGUCGAGCGAACAGACGAGGAGCUUGCUCCUCUGACGUUAGCGGCGGACGGGUGAGUAACACGUGGAUAACCUACCUAUAAGACUGGGAUAACUUCGGGAAACCGGAGCUAAUACCGGAUAAUAUAUUGAACCGCAUGGUUCAAUAGUGAAAGACGGUUUUGCUGUCACUUAUAGAUGGAUCCGCGCCGCAUUAGCUAGUUGGUAAGGUAACGGCUUACCAAGGCGACGAUGCGUAGCCGACCUGAGAGGGUGAGCGGCCACACUGGAACUGAGACACGGUCCAGACUCCUAAGGGAGGCAGCAGUAGGGAAUCUUCCGCAAUGGGCGAAAGCCUGACGGAGCAACGCCGCGUGAGUGAUGAAGGUCUUCGGAUCGUAAAACUCUGUUAUUAGGGAAGAACAAAUGUGUAAGUAACUAUGCACGUCUUGACGGUACCUAAUCAGAAAGCCACGGCUAACUACGUG